rnacentral:lncRNA from 1 species
GCGCUUGCUCGUCGGUCUUGCGUUCAUUCCAGCGUCAGGUACUGUAGAGGUUACACGUGUUUUCAAUUCGAUCCGUUGGUGUGUAGCUUGUCGCGUUAGAAACGUGCCUUUUUCUAACGAAGAAAAACAUAGACGUCCUUCACCUUCGACUCACGUGCUUCCUACGUUGGAUUCGUGUGCUGAGAAGAGAGAGAGAGAGAGAAGCCACGUUGCGUCAUAUAAUUGUUCUUCAUUCACCCACGCAUAUAUUUUCGUUCUCUCUCACAUUUACACUUAACCACCAGCCUACAUCUUCUUUGCUUCGUAUAUACGUUAUAAGUGACGAAGAAGAACAAGAAGUAGAAG